ensembl:lncRNA
UUUGUAGUUAAUUGAUUAUGCUCUUUCUCUAGGUCACAUUAGGCAUCGACACCUUGCUGUUUCCUCUCAACAAAGAUGCAGUAUUUACAAACAGACCCACGUCCUGUCAGCCACUCAGCCAGGCGGGCUCAGUCCCCGACAGUGUGUGCAAAUUUACAGAACCUUUGGAAACCUUGGUCCAGAGGAGGAAUGAGCAGCACAGCAUCCAGAGCCCAGAUACAUCUUCCCACUGCUCUCCUCUCCUUCCUUCCUCCUGCCUGGCUGCCUCUACUGCCCGUGGGGGUGGUCACGGCAACGACUCGCCCGCCCAGUCCCAGGCUUGUGCCGACCAAUCGCUAGGGGUUGUGGGUGGGUCGCAGAAUGCCGCUGAGAAUGUGAGGAGGUCCUCGUGCAGCUCAGAUGAAGGCCAGGCUCCCGAGGGAGAAGCAUCUUCAGGGAUAGCAGACACACACAGAGAUCCCCUUGCCAGCAUGAAGACCUUCCUCACCAUCGAGAUCAAGGAUGGCCGCACUGCCAGCCAGCAAUCACCAUUGUCUUCCUCCACGGCGGGCACUGUGAUGCCACGGAUCCUCUCUGGCCCUGGAGGACAGAGAUCGGAGCUGACACUUGGUCUGAGAGCAACACCAUUCAAGUUCAGCAACUCCAGCUUCUCAAUGGGAUCUUCCAUUAAGGUACCGUGACGUCACACAAGACUUUUGCUCAAACUACCCUCACACAGUUACCUUCCUGAGAGAACCAAAAGAUGGUCUACUAUCUCACAUAUCCCCCAUACUGUGCAGGUAGCUAUUUGGUAUCUUAUUUCUUUGCCCACACAGACAUGUGGGUCAGUGGAGUAAACUUGUUUAGGGAUCAGAAUGGGACAGUCUAGUGAGGGGAAAGGGCCACUGAACAAACAGGAUUUCUGUUGCUGAGAGAGAGAGAGUAGAGAGAGAGAGAGAGAGAGAGAGUAGAGAGAGUAGAGAGAG